rnacentral:lncRNA from 1 species
AUUUUUUACCAAGAAAUGGUCUCCACCAGAAAUCCAAGAAUGUGAUCUAUGGCAAGGAAACAUAUGUGGGGUGAGGUGUAUGAGCCUCUAGUCGAUGAUCAAUGGCCACACAACCCCCAUUUUUGUCGAAAAUAGCCAUGAAUGACCAUUUUCAAAAAUACCAAAGGCUAACACGUACGGAUUUUUAACCAAGAAAUGGUCUCCACCAGAAAUCCAAGAAUGUGAUCUAUGGCAAGGAAACAUAUGUGGGGUGAGGUGUACGAGCCUCUAAUCGAUGAUCAAUGGCCACACAACCCCCAUUUUGCCGAAAAUAGCCAUGAAUGACCAUUUUCAAUAAUACCGAAGGCUAACACGUACGAGUUUUUAACCAAGAAAUGGUCUCCACCAGAAAUCCAAGAAUGUGAUCUAUGGCAAGGAAACAUAUGUGGGGUGAGGUGUAUGAGCGUCUGGUCGAUGAUCAAUGGCCACACAACCCCCAUUUUUGUCGAAAAUAGCCAUGAACGACCAUUUUCAAUAAUACCGAAGGCUAACACCUACGGAUUUUUGACCAAGAAAUGGUCUCCACCAGAAAUCCAAGAAUGUGAUCUAUGGCAAGGAAACAUAUGUGGGGUGAGGUGUAUGAGCCUCUGGUCGACGAUCAAUGGCCACACAACCCUAAUUUUUGUCGAAAAUAGCCAUGAACGACCAUUUUCAAUGACAUUGAAGGCUAACACCUACGGAUUUUUGACCAAGAAAUGGUCUCCACCAUAAAUCCAAGAAUGUGAUCUAUGGCAAGGAAACAUAUGUGUAGUGAGGUGUAUGAGCCUCUGGUCGAUGAUCAAUGGCCACACAACCCCCAUUUUUGUCGAAAAUAGCCAUGAAUGACCAUUUACAAUAAUACCGAAGGCUAACACCUACGGAUUUUUGACCAAGAAAUGGUCUCCACCAGAAAUCCAAGAAUAUGAUCUAUGGCAAGGAAACAUAUGUGGGGUGAGGUGUAUGAGCCUCUGGUCGACGAUCAAUGGCCACACAACCCCCAUUUUGCCGAAAAUAGCCAUGAAUGACCAUUUUCAAUAAUACCGAAGGCUAACACGUACGAGUUUUUAACCAAGAAAUGGUCUCCACCAGAAAUCCAAGAAUGUAAUCUAUGGCAAGGAAACAUAUGUGGGGUGAGGUUUAUGAGCCUCUAGUCGAUGAUAAAUGGCCACACAAGAGCCAUUUUUUAUGAAAAUAGCCAUGAGCGACCAUUUUCAAUAAUACUAGAGGCUAACACCUACGGAUUUUAGACCAAGAAAUGGUCUCCACCAGAAAUCCAAGAAUGUGAUCUAUGGCAAGGAAACAUAUGUGGGGUGAGGUGUAUGAGCGUCUGGUCGAUGAUCAAUGGCCACACAACCCCCAUUUUUGUCGAAAAUAGCCAUGAAUGACCAUUUUCAAUAAUACCGAAGGCUAACACCUACAGAUUUUUGACCAAGAAAUGGUCUCCACCAGAAAUCCAAGAAUGUGAUCUAUGGCAAGGAAACAUAUGUGGGGUGAGGUGUAUGAGCCUCUAGUCGAUGAUCAAUGGCCACACU